GUAACAGGUGGGGGAAUUGCAGCUAAAGCCAUUGAGCUUAAUGAGAAUUAGUCAUGCAUUCUGAUUGUUCAGAUAUUGGACAAGGGACCUGAAUACCUCUCUGAGGUGCUUGUAUCUUGUCUAUCACUUGCCUCCUGAAUGCAUAGCACCUCAUAUUGAAAGAUUUGAACUAGUAUCUCCCACAUCCCAUGAGAGUGCUCUGUCCCCAGUGCUGCACAACAUCUGGGAACAGUGUUCUUUGAACCUCUCUCACUGUUUGCUGGAGAAGGAUCUGGAUCCUUGAUUUGACAACAGGUCUCCUAGCUCUCAGAAUUGCUGGAUGAGUGAAUGGUCACAGAUCUUGCAGCACACAGAAAGCAAGGU